rnacentral:rRNA from 1 species
CAGUAGCCACGGUAAUACAGAGGGUGCAAGCGUUAAUCGGAAUUACUGGGCGUAAAGCGCGCGUAGGUGGUUUGUUAAGUUGGAUGUGAAAUCCCCGGGCUCAACCUGGGAACUGCAUCCAAAACUGGCAAGCUAGAGUAUGGUAGAGGGUGGUGGAAUUUCCUGUGUAGCGGUGAAAUGCGUAGAUAUAGGAAGGAACACCAGUGGCGAAGGCGACCACCUGGACUGAUACUGACACUGAGGUGCGAAAGCGUGGGGAGCAAACAGGAUUAGAUACCCGAGUAGUCCCUGUCUCUUAUAC